rnacentral:misc_RNA from 1 species
GAACGCAUCUUGCGCUCCUUGGUAUUCCGAGGAGCAUGCCUGUUUGAGUGUCAUUUGACUUAUCAACCACUUCAAAUUUAUUGAUGUUGGCUUGGAUUUUGGGGGUGUUUUGCAGGCUUUUUUUUCCGUCUCAGGAAAAAAAGGGUCAGCUCCUCUGAAAUGUAUUAGUGGCAUCUGAGCUGCUACUAUAGGUGUGAUAACUAUCUAUGCCUUUGGUACGCUGCAUGAACAGAUUGGGCUGCUUUACAAACAAAAUUGACAAACUUGACCUCAAAUCAGGUAGGACUACCCGCUGAACUUAAG